ensembl:lncRNA
CCGUUAUAAUGAUAUUGUUUAAUUAUUUACUGGUUCUUUAGUUUGUUUUCCACACAUGCAGAUCAAUAAUAUAAUGCAUGUUUGCAUGUUAUCCAAAUGUGUUUAGGCUUACAGUGAAUUUCCAAGCUGGAAAAUUUUAACAAAAAACAUUUAUCUGCUUAUCUGACUUACCAGCAUUUUGAGGACAAAAAUGUCCAAUCUCUACCAUGUCCUUGGUCCACUUUACUUUAUUGCUAUGGUUACAUAUGAUGGAUCCAUCUGACAGGUAGACAUGAAAAAAAGCAGUGGGCCACCACAUUUCCUCUCUUUGUUCUCCUCCCUCUUGAUAGCAGGUUUUGCUAUCACAUUUAAAAAUGCUGAUGAUGUCAAAGUAAUUUGUACUACAGCUCACAGUAAGGUUACAGGAGUCUGAGCUGCUGGACACUGAGUCCACUGUCAGGUUAACUGGAGACAAAGGAUCUGGAGGUGGAUAUAAGACAUGCAAAGGUUUAGUAAUAUUGCAGCAGUCUAGCAUUGGUUUCAAUUAUUAACAUAUCAAACACACCUGCUUUCCACUGCCAGUCACCAUAAUCAUAAUAGUCUCCAGUUUCCAUGAACAUGUCGCUCAGAUUUGCAAUUGCAGUCCAGUCACUAAUAUCAAAGUCAGCCUCCACAAGAUCAUGAGUUAUAUUAUCCUCCUCUCCAAACACAGGAUGUGACCCUUUAAAACAGUAAAUAUGACAGUACUCUACAAAUCAAACACAACAGGUAUAUAGUCAAUGAAUCUUCUAAAAUUUCUUAACUUCAGAAUUCAUUUGAAAAGAAUUUAAAAUAAUUUUAAGAACUUCCAUCUUCAUUGUUGUGUAUAUUUGGAAAAAAGUACACGGCUCUUAAAUUUCUAUAUUUAAUUCUCCGUAUAAUAAAUUUGGUAAAUGUACUGACUAGUAAUUGAAUAGAUCUUGUCAGUAUUUAUGGCCCACAUACAGUACAUGAGUGAACAUUCAUGUUAGAUUUGAAUCCUGAGUUAAGAAAGAUUUAAAUAUAAUAUUGAGAUUUAACGUUUAGAUUUAACAUUUAAAAUUGUGUUUUAAAUAUAAAAAGUUACAAAUAUUUUACUAAAUGUUGUAAAAAAUGUCUUGAAAAAACAUGUUUUUGUAAGGUAUGAGCUAAAUGUGGAAAAAUGUUGCCGUUAAUUUCAGCAUGUUUCACUUUACAGACGGCACCCCAUAACAUCAUGUAUCCUGACAAAUCUACUUUUAGAAUUCAAACAAUGAAGUAAAAACAGAUAAAAAACAACAUCUUUUCUUCCAUACCACUUCAAUUCCACGUUCAUAUAGGUUAACCAUGUGCAUAGUCAGUUCUGCCCCGAUGCUCUAUUAAAUGAACAAGUUAUAAAUCACAAUGAUAUUUACGUUUAAUUAGAAAGUUUCCUAUCCAGUGUCUCAGAACAGAACAGCAGUGCCACCAUCACAACAAAAGACAUGGUUGCAUCUCUGACUUCUUUGAGUCCAAAAUGUGGAACUGUGAACGAAUGAAAGGAUGACAGUUUUACAACUGUCUCACUUUUUUGUUUCUUUCACAACUACUGGCUGCAGUCUUAU